GGGUGAGUAACGCGUAUGCAACUUACCUAUCAGAGGGGGAUAGCCCGGCGAAAGUCGGAUUAAUACCCCAUAAAACAGGGGUCCCGCAUGGGAAUAUUUGUUAAAGAUUCAUCGCUGAUAGAUAGGCAUGCGUUCCAUUAGGCAGUUGGCGGGGUAACGGCCCACCAAACCGACGAUGGAUAGGGGUUCUGAGAGGAAGGUCCCCCACAUUGGUACUGAGACACGGACCAAACUCCUACGGGAGGCAGCAGUGAGGAAUAUUGGUCAAUGGCCGAGAGGCUGAACCAGCCAAGUCGCGUGAAGGAAGAAGGAUCUAUGGUUUGUAAACUUCUUUUAUAGGGGAAUAAAGUGGAGGACGUGUCCUUUUUUGUAUGUACCCUAUGAAUAAGCAUCGGCUAACUCCGUGCCAGCAGCCGCGGUAAUACGGAGGAUGCGAGCGUUAUCCGGAUUUAUUGGGUUUAAAGGGUGCGUAGGUGGUGAUUUAAGUCAGCGGUGAAAGUUUGUGGCUCAACCAUAAAAUUGCCGUUGAAACUGGGUUACUUGAGUGUGUUUGAGGUAGGCGGAAUGCGUGGUGUAGCGGUGAAAUGCAUAGAUAUCACGCAGAACUCCGAUUGCGAAGGCAGCUUACUAAACCAUAACUGACACUGAAGCACGAAAGCGUGGGGAUCAAACAGGAUUAGAUACCCUGGUAGUCCACGCAGUAAACGAUGAUUACUAGGAGUUUGCGAUAC
rnacentral:rRNA from 1 species